rnacentral:rRNA from 1 species
UGAGUCCUCUUUUUCCCUUUUCUCCAGCCUUAACCAGCCAUGCCGCGUGCAGGAUGAAGCAUCUAUGGUGUGUAAACUUCUUUUGUACGGGAAGAAACCACCCCUCGUGAGGGGUAUUGACGGUACCGUAAGAAUAAGGAUCGGCUAACUCCGUGCCAGCAGCCGCGGUAAUACGGAGGAUCCAAGCGUUAUCCGGAAUCAUUGGGUUUAAAGGGUCCGUAGGCGGGUCUGUAAGUCAGUGGUGAAAUCUCCCCGCUCAACGGGGAAACUGCCAUUGAUACUGCAGGUCUUGAAUUAUUGGGAAGUAACUAGAAUAUGUAGUGUAGCGGUGAAAUGCUUAGAGAUUACAUGGAAUACCGAUUGCGAAGGCAGGUUACUACCAAUGGAUUGACGCUGAUGGACGAAAGCGUGGGUAGCGAACA